CUACGGGGGGCUGCAGUGGGGAGUAUUGCACAAUGGGCGCAAGCCCGAUGCAGCCAUGCCGCGUGUAUGAAGAAGGCCUUCGGGUUGUAAAGUACUUUCAGCGGGGAGGAAGGGAGUAAAGUUAAUACCUUUGCUCAUUGACGUUACCCGCAGAAGAAGCACCGGCUAACUCCGUGCCAGCAGCCGCGGUAAUACGGAGGGUGCAAGCGUUCAUCGGAAUUACUGGGCGUAAGGCGCACGCAGGCGGUUUGUUAAGUCAGAUGUGAAAUCCCCGGGCUCAACCUGGGAACUGCAUCUGAUACUGGCAAGCUUGAGUCUCGUAGAGGGGGGUAGAAUUCCAGGUGUAGCGGUGAAAUGCGUAGAGAUCUGGAGGAAUACCGGUGGCGAAGGCGGCCCCCUGGACGAAGACUGACGCUCAGGUGCGAAAGCGUGGGGAGCAAACAGGAUUAGAUACCCGCGUAGUC
rnacentral:rRNA from 1 species